GGGUUGUGAGGUUAAGCGACUAAGCGUACACGGUGGAUGCCCUGGCAGUCAGAGGCGAUGAAGGGCGUGCUAAUCUGCGAUAAGCGCCGGUAAGGUGAUAUGAACCGUUAUAACCGGCGAUACCCGAAUGGGGAAACCCAGUGUGAUUCGUCACACUAUCAUUAACUGAAUCCAUAGGUUAAUGAGGCGAACCGGGGGAACUGAAACAUCUAAGUACCCCGAGGAAAAGAAAUCAACCGAGAUUCCCCCAGUAGCGGCGAGCGAACGGGGAGGAGCCCAGAGCCUGAAUCAGCAUGUGUGUUAGUGGAAGCGUCUGGAAAGGCGCGCGAUACAGGGUGACAGCCCCGUACACAAAAGCGUAUGUGCUGUGAGCUCGAUGAGUAGGGCGGGACACGUGGUAUCCUGUCUGAAUAUGGGGGGACCAUCCUCCAAGGCUAAAUACUCCUGACUGACCGAUAGUGAACCAGUACCGUGAGGGAAAGGCGAAAAGAACCCCGGCGAGGGGAGUGAAAAAGAACCUGAAACCGUGUACGUACAAGCAGUGGGAGCACCCUUUGGGGUGUGACUGCGUACCUUUUGUAUAAUGGGUCAGCGACUUAUAUUCUGUAGCAAGGUUAACCGAAUAGGGGAGCCGGAGGGAAACCGAGUCUUAAUUGGGCGUUAAGUUGCAGGGUAUAGACCCGAAACCCGGUGAUCUAGCCAUGGGCAGGUUGAAGGUUGGGUAACACUAACUGGAGGACCGAACCGAC
rnacentral:rRNA from 1 species